GUGGGGAAUAUUGGACAAUGGGCGAAAGCCUGAUCCAGCCAUGCCGCGUGUGUGAAGAAGGUCUUCGGAUUGUAAAGCACUUUAAGUUGGGAGGAAGGGCAGUAAGUUAAUACCUUGCUGUUUUGACGUUACCGACAGAAUAAGCACCGGCUAACUUCGUGUCAGCAGCCGCGGUAAUACGAAGGGUGCAAGCGUUAAUCGGAAUUACUGGGCGUAAAGCGCGCGUAGGUGGUUUUGUAAGUUGGAGGUGAAAUCCACGGGCUCAACCUGGGAACUGCCUCCAAAACUGCAUGACUAGAGUACGGUAGAGGGUAGUGGAAUUUCCUGUGUAGCGGUGAAAUGCGUAGAUAUAGGAAGGAACACCAGUGGCGAAGGCGACUACCUGGACUGAUACUGACACUGAGGUGCGAAAGCGUGGGGAGCAAACAGGAUUAGAAACCCCUAUAGUCC
rnacentral:rRNA from 1 species